GACGAACGCUGGCGGCGUGCUUAACACAUGCAAGUCGAACGGAAAGGCCCUGCUUUUGUGGGGUGCUCGAGUGGCGAACGGGUGAGUAACACGUGAGUAACCUGCCCUUGACUUUGGGAUAACUUCAGGAAACUGGGGCUAAUACCGGAUAGGAGCUCCUGCAGCAUGGUGGGGGUUGGAAAGUUUCGGCGGUUGGGGAUGGACUCGCGGCUUAUCAGCUUGUUGGUGGGGUAGUGGCUUACCAAGGCCUUGACGGGUAGCCGGCCUGAGAGGGUGACCGGCCACAUUGGGACUGAGAUACGGCCCAGACUCCUACGGGAGGCAGCAGUGGGGAAUAUUGCACAAUGGGCGGAAGCCUGAUGCAGCAACGCCGCGUGCGGGAUGACGGCCUUCGGGUUGUAAACCGCUUUCGCCUGUGACGAAGCGUGAGUGACGGUAAUGGGUAAAGAAGCACCGGCUAACUACGUG
rnacentral:rRNA from 1 species